rnacentral:rRNA from 1 species
UACGUAGGGGGCAAGCGUUGUCCGGAUUUACUGGGCGUAAAGAGCGUGUAGGCGGCCAAGCAGGUCCGUUGUGAAAACUGGAGGCUUAACCUCCAGACGUCGACGGAAACCGCGCGGCUAGAGUCCGGAAGAGGAGAAUGGAAUUCCUGGUGUAGCGGUGAAAUGCGCAGAUAUCAGGAAGAACACCCGUGGCUAAGGCGGUUCUCUAGUACGGUACUGACGCUGAGACGCGAAAGCGUGGGGAGCGAACAGG